rnacentral:lncRNA from 1 species
AAAUAAAAUCAAAGUUCCAUGCAUCCAACCCUCUAGAGGCAAUGUUUUCCUCUAAUAGUCUCAUUCCCAAUCCCACAUCGGAAGCACAAGAAUUUUAUGUGCUCCAUGUGCUCUAUAAAUGCCUUCCAACUUGCCUUUAAGCCAAACAAGCCAGCCAGCUGGGCCUGGAAGCAUGGCCCAAAUGCAAGUGUUAUUUUAAAAUAAAAAAUGCUGCAAAUUGGGCUUGUAGACAUGGCCCAAAUAAUAGUGUUUUAAUCUUAUCAGUGGACUAGGCCUAGUGGCUUGGACCAAAGAUGGUUUAUUAGGUUGAGUUGUAAGCAUUGGGCCUGGAAUGGGCCAUUUCAUAGUAAACAAAAACUUGUUUUUAAGUUAUGACCGGUUUGCAAAAAACCGGACGGGUCGUCCGGUUUGCAAAAAACCGGACGGGUCGUCCGGUUUGACGGUUCAACCGUCAGUUUGAACGGUUCAAUGCCGGUUUGAUAACAAAAGGGUUCAUUGAGCGGACCGAACCGGAUAGUUCACCGAUCGAC